GCCGCUCAGUAGUACAAUGACCUAUCAGAGCUCCUAGAACUUACUCACAAGAAUAAUACCAUUUAAAAAAAUGUACGAAUGAAGAAGAAAACCAAUCGCUGCCACAGGCUAAACUGUAUCAGUCCCAGCAUGGAUUCAUGACUGAAGUCUAACCCUUGGUACUUACAAUAUCAUUACAUAUGAAAAUAUGGUCAUAACGAGGUUUAUGAACUCCCUCAUCUCAUGUUUCCUAAUAGAUAUAACAAAACAUCCCAGACUGGAAAAGAGAACUACAAAGUUCAGAUGAGCCAGAGUAAAUGCACUCUUCCUGUGCACUGAAUGGAGGAUACAAGGGAUGCAUAAACUGGCCAAGGUGCUAUUCAGGUUCUUUUAAAGCAGCCAUUUAUUGAAAGCAUCCAUCUGAACAU
rnacentral:lncRNA from 1 species